UACGUAGGGCGCAAGCGUUAUCCGGAAUUAUUGGGCGUAAAGAGCUCGUAGGCGGUUUGUCGCGUCUGCCGUGAAAGUCCGGAGCUCAACUCCGGAUCUGCGGUGGGUACGGGCAGACUAGAGUGAUGUAGGGGAGACUGGAAUUCCUGGUGUAGCGGUGAAAUGCGCAGAUAUCAGGAGGAACACCGAUGGCGAAGGCAGGUCUCUGGGCAUUAACUGACGCUGAGGAGCGAAAGCAUGGGGAGCGAACAGG
rnacentral:rRNA from 1 species